UAGGGAAUCUUCGGCAAUGGACGAAAGUCUGACCGAGCAACGCCGCGUGCGUGAUGAAGGUAUUCGGAUCGUAAAACUCUGUUGUUAGAGAAGAACAAGGACGUUAGUAACUGAACGUCCCCUGACGGUAUCUAACCAGAAAGCCACGGCUAACUACGUGCCAGCAGCCGCGGUAAUACGUAGGUGGCAAGCGUUGUCCGGAUUUAUUGGGCGUAAAGCGAGCGCAGGCGGUUUCUUAAGUCUGAUGUGAAAGCCCCCGGCUCAACCGGGGAGGGUCAUUGGAAACUGGGAGACUUGAGUGCAGAAGAGGAGAGUGGAAUUCCAUGUGUAGCGGUGAAAUGCGUAGAUAUAUGGAGGAACACCAGUGGCGAAGGCGGCUCUCUGGUCUGUAACUGACGCUGAGGCUCGAAAGCGUGGGGAGCAAACAGG
rnacentral:rRNA from 1 species